UACAUUAGUCAAGGUAAACUAAUUCAACUAAUUGCUCUACCAUAAUUCUUUAACUCUUCUUUCUCUUGCUCAGCUUGAUAGCAUGUGGUUUGGCCUGGGUUGUUUCUUAUUCUGUGUAGGGUUGGCUUGUUUCGAGUGUACUCCCUUCUCCCAAUUGCUUCGGCCUUCUUUCCACAGUUCUAGUUUUGUUGUCACCCAUGGCCAUUGUCUACCUUGUUCUGCUCAGUGGCG
rnacentral:misc_RNA from 1 species